AGGGCAGUUAUAGCUCGCUGGAUGGGGUUUCAGGAGAGUUUAAGGAUGAAGACCCGUGGCUCUUACUGUGUUUCUGCUGGUACAGUUGCCCUACAGCUUAUAGCCUGGUGCCUGGAUCCCUUAGUGCAAACGGGCCCUUUGCCUUUCCUAGAUGCAGACCCAGAAGAGCUGGUAGUCUUGGAUGAGCACCUCUCAGUCUACAGCAGGAUGUUCUCUUAGAGUCCCCUGCAUGAGCUUGGAGUAUGUAAAGAGAGUCUGGUUCUACUAAGGAAGCCUGUCGCUUAUCUUCUGGGGAGUGUUUAGGAACCUUUUUAAUGAAUUCCAAUUAAGAGUCUUUCUGACACCAGGGGAUGCAGAGGUCAAAGAAUGCCCUGAGCAGCACAGCAACAGACCAUGUGGAGCACAGAUAAAGGGCAUUGGAGCACCCAGAGCUGACUGCAGCCGGGCUGCUGGGUGGGGUCAGCAUCUGGGAUCUGCCGUCACCAAAGCCACCUUGGGCCCCCCAGCUGUUUGCUAUGCAGGUUAUUUAAGUCAGAUGAGUCAAGCCCUGACCAGGGCCAUUGCUUGC